GUUUCAGGUUAAGCACCAACGCCCCAAUGAUCAUUCAAAUUGGAUUGAGCUUGAUUAUAUAUUGUGCUAACCCUUGUUUUGUAGGUGUGACUCACAUACUUGAGUCUUUGUGCCUUGCACAAUUGGUCCCUCUGUGGUUGACUAUUGGUUCAUUUUCUUUUGAUUUUGAUUGUUGACUUGUUUACUAAUGAGUUUGACUUUUUCAGGUACACUUUAGUUGCUUUAGUUGCUUGCUUUGCUUUUUAGCAUUUGCUUUGAGGUAUAAACCUUUCUU
rnacentral:lncRNA from 1 species